GCCCGGGUGGUGAAAUUGGUAGACACAAGGGAUUUAAAAUCCCUCGUCAGUAAUGACGUGCCGGUUCAAGUCCGGCCCCGGGCACCA
rnacentral:tRNA from 15 species